CCACUAUUACCCAUCAACUCAACUAAGUAGUGUGUAGUUGUAACUGUUUUAGGUUGGUAAUAACUCCGAUAUUGUGUACUUCCUAGGAAAUUAGGCAACCAAUUCUUAUAAACACCUAUUAUCCAAGUUUAAUGUUGUACUAUCUAGAAAUUAGCAUAGUACUUUCCAAUAAAAUACUUUUUCUUAGUUAUUAUUCGUAGCUACACCCAUUUAGAAAGGGUUUAUUCGAUUUACCACUAUGGAAUUACUUACCUGGUAACAACCUCUGCAGGAACAGUUUUCCUCUAGUGUUAUGGUACAUCUUCUUAAAUACUGGGUACAAAGCCGUUUGUUUCCAUGGUAUGACCAGGUUCUUACCAUAUAAUUUAUAAUAGAUACAUUCCAUUAUCCAUGCAGUCAACACAAACUUGUACCAUGUACGUUCUGCGACGUUACCAAGUAAAACACGACAAUUUACCCAGUAAUUAAGCUGAAACUGUACUGUAAAAGGAAGCCUUGUUUGUUUCCAUGGUAUUACCAGGUUCUUACCAUAUAAUUUGUAAUACAUUAUUCCCUUUUCCAUGCAAUCAACACAAACUUGUACCAUGUACGUUCUGCAACGUUACCAAGUAAAACACGACAAUUUACCCAGUAAUUAAGCUGAAACUGUACUGUAAAAGGAAGCCUCGUUUGUUUCCAUGGUAUUACCAGGUUCUUACCAUAUAAUUUGUAAUACAUUAUUCCCUUUUCCAUGCAGUCAACACAAACUUGUACCAUGUACGUUCUGCGACGUUACCAAGUAAAACACGAC
ensembl:lncRNA